GGCUGGUCAGAAGGUAGUGAGUUAUCCCACUUACUGUUCAGUUACAGACUGAACUUCUGGCUCUACUACCUUACCCCUUCUCACUUCUGCACUUGACUAGUCUUUA
rnacentral:Y_RNA from 1 species